rnacentral:rRNA from 1 species
UGUGUAGGCGGGCUAUUAAGUCAGUGGUGAAAUCUCCGGGCUCAACCUGGAAACUGCCAUUGAUACUAUUAGCCUUGAAUUUUGUUGAGGUAGGCGGAAUAAGUCAUGUAGCGGUGAAAUGCAUAGAUAUGACUUAGAACACCAAUUGCGAAGGCAGCUUGCUAAACAAAGAUUGACGCUGAGGCACGAAAGCGUGGGGAUCAAACAGGAUUAGAUACCCUGGUAGUCCACGCCCUAAACGAUGAUCACCCGACAUACGCGAUACACAGUGUGUGUCUGAGCGAAAGCAUUAAGUGAUCCACCUGGGAAGUACGACCGCAAGGUUGAA